CAAACACAGGACUCUUUGUGGGUCUAAAUAAAGGGCAUGUUGUCACCAAGAAGGAAUUAGCACCUCGUCCUUCCGACAGAAAAGGGGCUUAUCAAGAUAUUCUCUAGCUUUGAGAGCUGCAUAAGGCUAAUGAUUAAAAAAAGAAAAAAUGGAGAUUCUAAAGAUCAUCAUCCAAAUGCACCAAAAUUUAGAGUAAGAUCGAACCACUAUUAAUGAAGGUAUUCUACUGGGCUAGGAUGCUUGUUGUUUGGAUAUGGAGCCAUGGAAGAACUUGGACCCUUCCGUGUUAACAGUGAUGGAAAAACACUCUACCCCAACCACUAUGCAUGGAACAAUGGUGCAUGCCUAACCCUAUAAAACCUUUGCUUUUGAGGUACUAACUGUUUUCUCCUGGAAUUUUUUUUGCCUGAGAUUUUUU